GCCGGGCUUAGUAACGAGAGCUUGUAACCCAAGUGGGGGGCUUUAAGGUGGUUGGAUAUUGGUUCAGCUCAUUGUACCGGGUCCGGCGUGGCUAUCUUCUGGCCUGCUCGUUCCAAGCCGUGAGUUGGGCCGUGCGACUUAGGCGAAGGCCCAAGUUUCACGGCCCCUAGAGAGGAGGGUACCGCGUGAGGCUGGUUUCACAGAGCAGUGAAAACCUCCCGCUCUUGGCAGUGGAAGGUUAAAGGGCCGGUGUCACCUGAACCCAACAUGGCACAGUGAGUUGUUCUUAAUGGGACCGUCACUUUU
rnacentral:SRP_RNA from 1 species